UACGAAGGGGCGAGCGUUGCUCGGAAUCACUGGACGUAAAGGGCGCGUAGGCGGCAGGCCAAGCGUGCGGUGAAAGUCCGGGGCUCAACCCCGGAUCUGCCGUGCGGACUGGUUUGCUAGAGCACUGUAGAGGCGAGUGGAAUUCCGGGUGUAGCGGUGGAAUGCGUAGAGAUCCGGAAGAACACCGGUGGCGAAGGCGGCUCGCUGGGCAGUGGCUGACGCUGAGGCGCGACAGCGUGGGGAGCAAACAGG
rnacentral:rRNA from 1 species